UGCCAGAUCGUCUAAAGGUAGGACAGCGCCCUUUGGAGGCGUUUAUCUUGGUUCGAUUCCAAGUCUGGCAG
rnacentral:tRNA from 1 species